rnacentral:sRNA from 1 species
GGGGCUCCAGUUUCUGAAGCUGAAAACUACCAGAAUACUCUCCAGCUAGAACAAGAAGUGAGAAACCAAGAUAGAUUCAUCUCGACACUGAAAUUACAGAUUGAAGAUCUCAAACAGACAAAUCAUGGCUUGGAAGAAUAUGUUAGGAAACUCUUGGAUAGUAAGGAGGUGGUAAGCAGUCAAGUAGAUGAUUUAACCAGCCACAAUGAGCAUCUUUGUAAAGAAUUGAUUAAAAUUGACCAACUAGCAGAGCGACUCGAAAAAGAGAAAAAUUUUGUGGUGGAUUCCGCCAACAAGGAACUUGAAGAAGCCAAGAUUGAACUCAUUUGCCAGCAAAAUAAUAUUAUAGUAUUGGAAGAUACAAUAAAAAGGCUUAAAUCUAUAAUUUUAGAUACUGAAAAAGCACAAAAUAAAUCUCCUUCUAGACUUGAUUCCUUUGUCAAGACUUUGGAAGCAGACAAAGAUCACUAUAAGAGUGAAGCUCAACAUUUGAGAAAGAUGAUGAGAAGUAGGUCUAAAAGUCCAAGACGCCCAUCACCAACUGCCCGGGUUGCAAACUGUGAUGUAGAACUUCUGAAGACAACAACAAGAGAUCGUGAAGAACUUAAAUGCAUGCUGGAAAAAUAUGAGCGCCAUUUGGCAGAAAUUCAGGGUAAUGUCAAGGUUCUUAAAUCUGAGAGAGACAAGAUCUUCCUUCUUUAUGAACAGGCACAGGAAGAAAUUACCCGACUUCGACGAGAAAUGAUGAAAAGCUGUAAGAGUCCUAAAUCAACAACGGCACAUGCUAUUCUCCGGCGAGUGGAGACUGAAAGAGAUGUAGCCUUCACUGAUUUACGAAGAAUGACCACAGAACGAGAUAGUCUAAGGGAGAGGCUAAAGAUUGCUCAAGAGACAGCAUUUAAUGAGAAGGCUCACCUGGAACAAAGGAUAGAGGAACUGGAGUGUACAGUUCAUAAUCUUGAUGAUGAACGUAUGGAGCAAAUGUCAAAUAUGACUUUGAUGAAGGAAACCAUAAGCACUGUGGAAAAAGAAAUGAAAUCACUGGCAAGAAAGGCAAUGGAUACCGAAAGUGAACUUGGCAGACAAAAAGCAGAGAAUAAUUCUUUGAGACUUUUGUAUGAAAACACAGAAAAAGAUCUUUCUGAUACUCAGCGACACCUUGCUAAGAAAAAAUAUGAGCUACAGCUUACUCAGGAGAAAAUUAUGUGCUUGGAUGAAAAAAUUGGAAAAGACCAUUUCAGGCAUGAAGAAUAUCAUUGCUGAGAUGGAACAGGCAUCAAGACAGUGUACUGAGGCCCUAAUGGUGUGUGAACAAGACGUUUCCAGAAUGCGUCGGCAAUUGGAUGAGACAAAUGAUGAGCUGGCCCAGAUCGCCAGGGAAAGAGAUAUCUUGGCUCAUGACAAUGACAAUCUCCAGGAACAGUUUGCUAAAGCUAAACAAGAAAACCAGGCACUGUCCAAAAAAUUGAAUGACACUCAUAAUGAACUUAAUGACAUAAAACAGAAGGUUCAAGAUACUAAUUUGGAGGUUAACAAGCUGAAGAAUAUAUUAAAGUCUGAAGAAUCUGAGAACCGGCAAAUGAUGGAACAACUUCGAAAAGCCAAUGAAGAUGCUGAAAACUGGGAAAAUAAAGCCCAUCAAUCAGAGGCAGAUAACAAUACCCUCAAACUGGAACUUAUCACUGCUGAGGCAGAGGGUAACAGAUUAAAAGAAAAAGUAGAUUCCCUCAACAGAGAGGUUGAGCAAGUAAGUUUG